rnacentral:rRNA from 1 species
GACGAACGCUGGCGGCGUGCUUAACACAUGCAAGUCGAACGGAAAGGCCCUGCUUUUGUGGGGUGCUCGAGUGGCGAACGGGUGAGUAACACGUGAGUAACCUGCCCUUGACUUUGGGAUAACUUCAGGAAACUGGGGCUAAUACCGGAUAGGAGCUCCUGCUGCAUGGUGGGGGUUGGAAAGUUUCGGCGGUUGGGGAUGGACUCGCGGCUUAUCGGCUUGUUGGUGGGGUAGUGGCUUACCAAGGCUUUGACGGGUAGCCGGCCUGAGAGGGUGACCGGCCACAUUGGGACUGAGAUACGGCGCAGACUCCUACGGGAGGCAGCAGGGGGGAAUAUUGCACAGUGGGCGGAAGCCUGAUGCAGCAACGCCGCGUGCGGGAUGACGGCCUUCGGGUUGUAAACCGCUUUCGCCUGUGACGAAGCGUGAGUGACGGUAAUGGGUAAAGAAGCACCGGCUAACUACGUG